GACGAACGCUGGCGGCGUGCUUAACACAUGCAAGUCGAACGGGGCUGCUAUGAUGGAGUUUUCGGACAACUGAUUAGUAUGCCUAGUGGCGGACGGGUGAGUAACGCGUGAGUAACCUGCCUUUCAGAGGGGGACAACAGCUGGAAACGGCUGCUAAUACCGCAUGAUGCAUGAUCAGGGCAUCCUGGACAUGCCAAAGAUUUAUGUGCUGAAAGAUGGCCUCGCGUCUGAUUAGCUAGUUGGUGGGGUAACGGCCCACCAAGGCGACGAUCAGUAGCCGGUCUGAGAGGAUGAACGGCCACAUUGGGACUGAGAUACGGCCCAG
rnacentral:rRNA from 1 species